UAACAAAAGAGUUUGAUCCUGGCUCAGGAUUAAUGCUGGCGAGAUGCAUAACACAUGCAAGUCGAGCGAGAAAUUUCUUCGGAAAUGGACAGCGGCGGACGGCUGAGUAACACGUUGGAACGUGCCUUCAAUUCAGGGAUAGCAUAGGGAAACUUAUAGUAAUACCGGAUAGUCCAGAAAUGGUAAAGCGUUUAGCGAUUGAAGAGCGGCCUGCGGCCCAUUAGCUAGUUGGUGAGGUAAUAGCUCACCAAGGCCAUGAUGGGUAUCUGGUGUGAGAGCACGACCAGACAGAAUGGGACUGAGACACGGCCCAUACUCCUACGGGAGGCAGCAGUGAGGAAUUUUCCGCAAUGGACGAAAGUCUGACGGAGCAAUCUCGCGUGGAGGAUGACACCUUUCGGGGCGUAAACUCCUUUUAUGAGGGAAGAAAAUUUGACGGUACCUCAUGAAUAAGGGGCGGCUAACUACGUGCCAGCAGCCGCGGUAAUACGUAGGCCCCAAGCAUUAUCCGAAAUUACUGGGCGUAAAGCGAUCGAAGGCGGUCUAUUAAGUUUGGUGUUAAAUCCCUCGGCUCAACCGAGGACUCGUGCCGAAAACUGAUAUGACUAGAGGUAUGGAGAGGUAUCUGGAAUUUCUAUUGUAGGGGUUAAAUCCGUAGAUAAUAGAAGGAACACCAAAAGCGAAGGCAGGAUACUGGCCAUCACCUGACGCUGCGCGAUCGAAAGCGUGGGGAGCAAAACGGAUUAGAUACCCGUGUAGUCCACGCCCUAAACGAUGAAUACUCGGUGUUCGGAGGUUUCAAAUCCCUCUGAGUGCCCAAGCUAACGCGUUAAGUAUUCCGCCUGGGGAGUACGGUCGCAAGAUUAAAACUCAAAGGAAUAGACGGGGAUCCACACAAGCAGUGGAGCAUCUGGUUUAAUUCGAUAAUACGCGGGGAACCUUACCGGGGCUUGACAUCCUGAGAACUUUCUAGAAAUAGUUAGGUGCCCUUCGGGGAGCUCAGUGACAGGUGCUGCAUGGUUGUCGUCAGCUCGUGCUUUGAAGUGUUCGGUUAAGUCCGUUAACGAGCGCAACCCUCAUCGUAUGUUAUUCAUUUCAUGCGAGACUGCCAGGUUUAACCUGGAGGAAGGUGAGGAUGACGUCAAAUCAGCAUGGCCCUUAUGUCCCGGGCUACACAGGUGCUACAAUGGGAGGGACAAAGCGCAGCCAAACCGCAAGGUGGAGCGAAUCGCAUCAAACCCUCUCUCAGUUCGGAUUGGGGUCUGCAACUCGACCCUAUGAAGUUGGAAUUGCUAGUAAUCGCGCAUCAGCAAUGGCGCGGUGAAUAUGUUCCUGGAUCUUGUACUCACCGCCCGUCAAACCACGGAAGAUGGGGGCACCCGAAGUUGCGUUAUCCUUUCGAGGAGCGUACCUAAGGUGAAAUCAUUGACUGGGGUUAAGUCGUAACAAGGUAUCCGUACGGGAAUGUGCGGAUGGACCACCUCCUUU
rnacentral:rRNA from 1 species